GGCGCCGUGGCUUAGUUGGUUAAAGCGCCUGUCUAGUAAACAGGAGAUCGUGUGUUCGAAUCACGCCGGGGCCU